rnacentral:rRNA from 1 species
GGCGCAGGCGGUUUUUCAAGUCGGGUGUAAAAUCUCCCUGCUCAACAGGGAGGGAUCAUCCGAUACUGUUUAGCUAGAGAGCAGCAGAGGGAGGCGGAAUUCCUGGUGGAGUGGUGAUAUGCGUAGAUAUCGGGAAGAACACCAGCGGCGAAGGCGGCCUCCUGGGCUGUUUCUGACGCUGAGGCCCGAAAGCGUGGGGAGCGAACA